UUGAAAGCCAACUCGUUCGUUGUACACUUUGAUGGGUGACCAUCACUGUGUCCCCGUGCCGAGCUAGAUCUCCCCUAGCCGUAAGGCACUUGAACGCCCCUUCGACGACGAGUUGCAUGUGUGUGGUAUGUGUCAGAAUCUGGUGAAGCUUUCUGCAUGUGAUGUGCCUUGUGUGGAUCCGUGGCCAUUGCAUUGUGUCUGGUGUGUAGGUACCCAGACACUUAAGCAAACUCGAUCGUUGUACACUUUGAUGGGCGAGCAUCACUGUGUAUCCGUGCCGUGUAAGAGCUCCCCUGGCCAUCAGGCACUUGAAAGGUCCUUCGACGACGAGUUACAAUAGUGGUGUGUUAGAUACGUCAGAUUACGGUGUCUACUAGUGUGCAAUACGUAUCCGGCUACGGCACGGAACGAACGGGAACUGUGGUGCAGACAAACAAGAGUUAAGCCUAUUAGUCAUUAACUCUAAGGACGGGGCCAUGGGGCGGUACACAAAGGAUACGGAUGAGCGAGUAUGCAGGCCCAAUACUCAAUAGCUCGAUCCGAUCCAAGCACAUGAGUUGACUGCGGCGUCAGGUUAACCAAUGUGCUAGAUUCUAUUUGGCCAGUAGAAUCUUGUGUCUUACGCGAUUUGAUACCAAGACACCAGAACGAAAGUUAGUUGAAGAGUGAUUAAACUCUUAUGAAGAAUGGUUGUGCAAUCACAACUUAUGACUUUAACCUAUAAAGUGGAUAUGGACUAUCAAUUAUAACAUGGGGCACACACCAUGUUCUCGAUCCAAUCCACGCACACGAGUUGCCUGAGUAGCGACAGGUAUACCGAUGUGCAAUACGUAUCCGGCCACGGCACGGAACGAACGGGAACUGUGGUGCAGACAUACAAAGAGUUAAGCCUACUAGUCAUUAACUCUAAGGACGGGGCCAUGGGGCGGUACGCAAAGGAUACGGAUGAGCGAGUAUGCAGGCCCAAUACUCAAUAGCUCGAUCCGAUCCAAGCACAUGAGUUGACUGCGGCGCCAGGUUAACCAAUGUGCUAGAUUCUAUUUGGCCAGUAGAAUCUUGUGUCUUACGCGAUUUGAUACCAAGACACCAGAACGAAAGUUAGUUGAAGAGUGAUUAAACUCUUAUGAAGAAUGGUUGUGCAAUCACAACUUAUGACUUUAACCUAUAAAGUGGAUAUGGACUAUCAAUUAUAACAUGGGGCACACACCAUGUUCUCGAUCCAAUCCACGCACACGAGUUGCCUGAGUAGCGACAGGUAUACCGAUGUGCAAUACGUAUCCGGCCAUAGGCACGGAACGAACAGGAACUGUGGUGCAGACAUACAAGGGCCAUGGGGCGGUACGCAAAGGAUACGGAUGAGCGAGUAUGCAGGCCCAAUACUCAAUAGCUCGAUCCGAUCCAAGCACAUGAGUUGACUGCGGCGUCAGGUUAACCGAUGUGCAAUACGUAUCCGGCCAUAGGCACGGAACGAACAGGAACUGUGGUGCAGACAUACAAGGGCCAUGGGGCGGUACGCAAAGGAUACGGAUGAGCGAGUAUGCAGGCCCAAUACUCAAUAGCUCGAUCCGAUCCAAGCACAUGAGUUGACUGCGGCGCCAGGUUAACCGAUGUGCUAAGAGAGUUGUUCCUGGGCCUUCAAAGUGACUUCAAAACUAUCUUAGCGAAUGGUGGCCAUGGGCGUAGACAUGAGCCACAAGUCACAAGGCCUGGGACUAUUGGGUAAUAAAGACAACUUAGUCAGAAAGUUAGUCUUUGGAC